rfam:Chaetomium globosum CBS 148.51 scaffold_1 genomic scaffold, whole genome shotgun sequence.
GGUCGAAUGGCGUAAGGGUAGCGCAUUACUUUCCGGUGAAGAAUAUGGUAAAGGCUCUGGGUUCGAAUCCCAGUUCGAUCG